rnacentral:rRNA from 6 species
CGACCUGAGCUCAGGCA